rnacentral:rRNA from 1 species
GAUGAACGCUGGCGGCGUGCCUAAUGCAUGCAAGUCGAGCGAACAGACGAGGAGCUUGCUCCUCUGACGUUAGCGGCGGACGGGUGAGUAACACGUGGAUAACCUACCUAUAAGACUGGGAUAACUUCGGGAAACCGGAGCUAAUACCGGAUAAUAUAUUGAACCGCAUGGUUCAAUAGUGAAAGACGGUUUUGCUGUCACUUAUAGAUGGAUCCGCGCCGCAUUAGCUAGUUGGUAAGGUAACGGCUUACCGAGGCAACGAUGCGUAGCCGACCUGAGAGGGUGAUCGGCCACACUGGAACUGAGACACGGUCCAGACUCCUACGGGAGGCAGCAGUAGGGAAUCUUCCGCAAUGGGCGAAAGCCUGACGGAGCAACGCCGCGUGAGUGAUGAAGGUCUUCGGAUCGUAAAACUCUGUUAUUAGGGAAGAACAAAUGUGUAAGUAACUAUGCACGUCUUGACGGUACCUAAUCAGAAAGCCACGGCUAACUACGUG